rnacentral:rRNA from 1 species
GUCUUUUUGAAAUAAUUUAAAGUCUAAUCUGCCCACUGAUAAAAAUUAAAGGGCUGCAGUAUAAUGACUGUACAAAGGUAGCAUAAUCAAUAGUUUUUUAAUUGGAAACUUGUAUGAAAGAUUUGAUGAAAUAUAAACUGUCUCUAUUUUAUAAAUUGAAUUUUAUUUUUUAGUAAAAAAGCUAAAAUAAAUUUAAAAGACGAGAAGACCCUAUAGAGUUUUAUAUUUAAUUUUAUUUGAAAAUUAUAUAAAAAUUAUUAUUUAAAUAAAAUUAAUUAUUAUGUUGGGGUGACAGAAAAAUUAAAUUAACUUUUUUUAAAAAUUAAACAUAAAUAAGUGAUUAUAUGAUCCAUAAAUAAUGAUUAUAAGAAAAAAUUACCUUAGGGAUAACAGCGUAAUAUUUUUUUUUAGUUCAAAUAAAAAAAAAAGUUUGCGACCUCGAUGUUGGAUUAAGAUAAAAUUUAAAUGCAAAAGUUUAAAAUUUUUGAUCUGUUCGAUCAUUAAAAUCUUACA